rnacentral:tRNA from 1 species
UGGGGUGUGGCUUAGUGGUUGAGCACUUACCUAGCAUGUGUGAGGCCCUGGGUUGGAUCCUCAGCACUACAC